rnacentral:rRNA from 1 species
UACAGAGGGUGCGAGCGUUGUUCGGAAUUACUGGGCGUAAAGCGCGCGCAGGCGGCUCUUUAAGUCUGACGGUGAAAUGCCGGGGCUCAACCCCGAGCGUGCCGGAGAUACUGGAGGGCUGGAGACGAGUAGAGGCAAGCGGAAUUCCGGGUGUAGCGGUGGAAUGCGUAGAGAUCAGGAAGAACACCGGUGGCGAAGGCGCUCUGCUAGGCCGCAACUGACACUGAGGGACGAAAGCUAGGGGAGCGAAUGGG